CGGCCGGGCGCGGGCGGAGCGCGGCGCAUGGGGCGGUCGCGGGGCGCGGCGCGGCGCUGCCGGGCGGCGGCCAGUCGAGGCGGCGCGGCAGGGACGAAACCGCUGGAGCCGGCAACUUGGUCCGGCGGGGACUGAAGCCAAUCGAUGCCACUUGCCAUGGAUGCCUUCGCCCGCCGUCCAGCGUCAAGAGCCGCUGGGGGGCGUUGUUGUGCGUCUCGCGCUGAGGUCGCUACGCCGCCGCAUCGCGAGGAUGCAUGCCAUGGUUGCCAGCUCCGCCACCGGGAGGUCGAGGAUGCGGGCACCGCGCGCUAAGCGCGUGCGGUUGUUUCCAUCACAGCCGCUCGCCCGUGGGCCGUGGCACGUCUUGUCAUACACCGGCUGGUGCCUCGCUGCGGAGCAGCGGCCACGGGCGCCGCCAUGCUCCUUGAGGGGCAUCUCCAUGUAGGUUGUGAACGGCGCCUCCGGCCGCUGCGGGCUGGAGCGCUGGGCCUCUGCCACCGGUGAUGCAGCCGUGCGGUAGAUCACCGUUGGCACCAUCGGCCGCAACCAGCGUCUCCGCUGCCUUGUGCGGUCAUGCCAGCAGCGAGCGGCUCGAUGGUACUUUCUUUUCUCCUCCUUUACGCACUCAGAUGAGAGCAAUUUGCUUGUGUGCGUAGGCGUACAGGUAACAAUCAGAUCAUUGAUUGAUUAUUAGAAGAAGACAAGAUCAAAAAGUGUACUUGAUUGAUUCCUCUUUGUUGGCCUUCUUGCCAUUGACGGGAAGUUGCCGAUCGGAUCGCCACGUUUAGCACCAUGGUGGUGGCAUGGAUCGGGUGGCAGCGGGCUGCACGCCGAUCGGAGAUCUGGAUCGUCCGCAUCCACCGCCCCAAUCCGCGAGGGCUGUCAUCCGAGAACGACUCCAUCGCGCGUAGCCGCAGUUGCUCUCUCGGCAGGGCGUGCUGAUAACGUGUUAGAAAGGGAAACGAGAGACAAUCGAGAGAGCCUUGGAACAGAUGUAAAAGUGAAUUCCUUGUUCUCAUUGAUGAUGGGUUACACAUAUAUAUAACCCCUGAAGGGGUGUCUCCGAAGGAACACGAGGCAACCGCCUCCUUUAGAAAAAGUAGGGAUUAACAGGAUUAAUUAAAUCCUAACACAAAUAACUGCAACCUAGGACAGGUCUACACUUCUUCACUGCUGAUAGAUAAAAUACAUGUCCUGUAUUUUCUAUCUAAAUUAUUAAUGUUGGUUCAAUAUUUGCAUGUCUAAUCUUAUCAACUAGUAAGAAGCAUUCUACUACCUUUUUUUAUCUGCAAGGUAGUUGUUACGGUGUUUGGAUAAAGUUAUUUAUGGUAGUAACUUCUAUGUUGUGGAACUAGUUUUAGAGGGCAGCAGCUUAAACCGAAGCUUGUACAUAUUCAUUAGAAGCUACACUCUAGCAUGAUCUCUCCUAUGAGAUCAUUACAUGUUGCAAUCAAAUGGACACGGCAGCCAUCGGCAACAAGCGUCGUAAGAAAGAUAAUUAGGAACAUAGGUGGGGCACCAUAGUAAAACAGAGGCGGGGGUGAUAUUUUUUCUUCACCCGUUGCAACGUAAGGGCCCUUUUGCUAGUGUAUCCCAAAUAACAAGUGCCGCAAUUGUGGCACUUAUCAAGUUGGCCUGAACGCAAUAGCUGUUGUUGGAUUGAUUUGCACGAAUAUUGCAGCAGUUGCCAUCUGAGUCAAGUGUCACGUAAGUGCACAACGUUGUGUGCGCGAUCUGCUCCUUGUCCGAGCGGACUGCAUCCAUUCCCUUUAGCAUACGGUCGCUCGCUCUCCGUGCGGUGAAACUGCUCUACGCUCGCACGACCGCCACCUCGCUUAAUUCUUGGCACGUAGCCGUUUUUUUCACUGCACAGCCGCGCUCCCUUCCCGUUUGCAUCCGUUCCCCACCCACUUCUCCUUGACUCUGCGUCGACCUGAGAGCGAUUCUGCGAUGACACUGAGGCGAUUCCGCGGCAACCUCCGACGAAAUCGUGGCGGAAGUCUCGCGGAGACUAGUUGUCGUCGCCAGGAGGACUCUCAGUCGCUCCGUCACUGGUGGAUUUUGAAGUGUGCAAAGCGAAUCCAUGGUGAAUCCGUGGUGGAUGUGUUAGGGGCGUCGUUUCCAUGUCGCCGGUGAGUCGCUGACGUGUUGAUGGUUAGGGUAGUAGUUCUCAUUCUCCUAGUCGUGGUACGUCUCACCCGCGCCUCGCCUUUUGUGCUCACCUAGUCGCCGGCUUAACUUCAAUGGAGUCGUUAUUCGUUGUUGAUGGGAGCAAUCUAGGGGGGCAUCUACUAUGGGAUUGGACUUCUGAAAGGGAUCACGUGGUUCAAAUCCGAGGCACGGCGCAAUGUUUGUUCUGUUUUUACAGUAACCCUAGAUUUAGAUUUGUUCUGUUGUGAGAUUGAGUUGAGUUCUUCCAUGUUUAAUUAGGCGCAUGUUCAUGGCAAUUCAUUGGUUGCAAAAAUAUUCUUAAUUGCCUUUUUUGCUUUUCGUAACCAUGACAACUCUGUUUGUAGCAAUAACCUGAAUGUUUUCCAUGUGGACUAAUUACCUGA